rnacentral:rRNA from 1 species
UAAGGAAUAUUGGACAAUGGGCGGAAGCCUGAUCCAGCCAUCCCGCGUGUAGGAUGACUGCCCUAUGGGUUGUAAACUACUUUUGUAUGAGAAGAAACCUGUUUUUUAAAAGCAGUUGACGGUAUCAUAAGAAUAAGCACCGGCUAACUCCGUGCCAGCAGCCGCGGUAAUACGGAGGGUGCAAGCGUUAUCCGGAAUCACUGGGUUUAAAGGGUGCGUAGGUUGUUAAUUAAGUCAGAGGUGAAAGGUUGUCGCUUAACGAUAAAAUGGCCUUUGAUACUGGUUAACUAGAAUUAGGUUGAGGUAGGCGGAAUGCGUCAUGUAGCGGUGAAAUGCAUAGAUAUGACGUA